rnacentral:rRNA from 1 species
UACGGAGGGUGCAAACGUUGCUCGGAAUCAUUGGGCGUAAAGAGCGCGCAGGCGGCUGGUCAAGUCCGAUGUGAAAGCUCCCGGCUUAACUGGGAAAUUGCAUCGGAAACUGAUCGGCUGGAAGGUGGGAGAGGGUAGCGGAAUUCCCGGUGUAGUGGUGAAAUGCGUAGAUAUCGGGAGGAACACCAGUGGCGAAAGCGGCUACCUGGCCCAUUCUUGACGCUGAGGCGCGAAAGCUAGGGGAGCAAACGGG